GAUGAACGCUGGCGGCGUGCUUAACACAUGCAAGUCGAACGGUGAAGGCGGAGCUUGCUCUGCUGGAUCAGUGGCGAACGGGUGAGUAACACGUGAGCAAUCUGCCCUUGACUCUGGGAUAAGCGCUGGAAACGGCGUCUAAUACUGGAUACGAGCUGCGAAGGCAUCUUCAGCAGCUGGAAAGAACUUCGGUCAGGGAUGAGCUCGCGGCCUAUCAGCUUGUUGGUGAGGUAACGGCUCACCAAGGCGUCGACGGGUAGCCGGCCUGAGAGGGUGACCGGCCACACUGGGACUGAGACACGGCCCAGACUCCUACGGGAGGCAGCAGUGGGGAAUAUUGCACAAUGGGCGGAAGCCUGAUGCAGCAACGCCGCGUGAGGGACGACGGCCUUCGGGUUGUAAACCUCUUUUGGCAGGGAAGAAGCGAAAGUGACGGUACCUGCAGAAAAAGCGCCGGCUAACUACGUG
rnacentral:rRNA from 1 species